CAAAUGGCAAGUGGGUUUUGUUUGUGUGUGUGUGGUGGGGGAGGGGAGUGGGCAGGAACUCAUGUAGCACAGGCGAGCAUUGAGCUAGCUACAUAGUUAAGGAUGACCCUGAACUUCUGACCCUCCUGCCUCCACUUCUCAAAUACUGGAAUCCUACACACAUGCCACCACACUUAGUUUUAUGACGUGUUGGAGAUGGAAUUUAGAACUUCACACUAGGCAAGCACUCUGCUGACUGAUCCACAUUCCCAGCCUCUGCUUCUAUCUGCACAUUUGAAUGAGAACUGCAGCUGCAUGCUUAGAGAGGGAGUCAGAGUAUGAACAAGAGGAUCUCCUUCCUCCCAAACACAUAUUUAAGAGCUGAUAUCAUAGCGUUAUGGCAGAAACUACAGAUGGAAGUGUAACUGGAUUCAAAUCAGGAAAUUUUGACUCUAUCGAAUGAAGACAGGGCAGAUUCAGGGGGAAACAUCCAAGGGCUGUACUAAGAAACUAAACAUCAACAGUUCAAACCAUCAUCAUCACCCUAAAACUAAUGUCUGCCAGAGGAAUAAAAUAGGUUACAAGCCA